rnacentral:rRNA from 1 species
GAUGAACGCUGACAGAAUGCUUAACACAUGCAAGUCAACUUGAACUUCGGUUUGGGUGGCGGACGGGUGAGUUACGCGUAAAGAACUUGCCUCACAGAUAGGGACAACAUUUGGAAACGAAUGCUAAUACCUGAUAUUAUGAUUUUAGGGCAUCCUAGGAUCAUGAAAGCUAUAUGCGCUGUGAGAGAGCUUUGCGUCCCAUUAGCUAGUUGGAGAGGUAACGGCCCACCAAGGCGAUGAUGGGUAGCCGGCCUGAGGGGGUGAUCGGCCACAAGGGGACUGAGACACGGCCCUUACGCCUACGAGAGGCAGCAGUGGGGAAUAUUGGACAAUGGACCAAGAGGCUGAUCCAGCGAUUCGGUGUGCACGAUGAAGUUUUUCGGAAUGUAAAGUGCUUUCAGUUGGGAAGAAAAAAUGACGGUACCAACAGAAGAAGCGACGGCUAAAUACGUG